GGAACAUUGCUGAAAUUCAGACUUUCCAUGAGCAGCAUUUGGGUGUGUGCAGCUGUCCACUCAUGAGGCUAGCAAUGGAAUAUCCAGCUAAAUAUGCCACCAGGAAACAAGUUUGAGGUGGAAGGGCUGACGCAUUGUAAAGAAAGUCAGUUCUUGUGGUAGUUCUAGCCUGACAAAGAGCAAGAAGCAUGCAUCAUAAAUCUCCUGAGAAGACUGCCAGGGAGAGAUUUCCACUCCACUUCUGGAGAAGCAAGACGUUUGGCUCAAGUUCAGGUUCCAGGGAAGGACGAUACUUGGCAGGAUUAGGCUGAUGAAGACCUCACUCCCCC